AGAACCUCGUGCUCUUGCCUUCUU
rnacentral:siRNA from 1 species